GAUGAACGCUGGCUACAGGCUUAACACAUGCAAGUCGUGGGGAAACGGCAUUAUGUGCUUGCACAUUCUGGACGUCGACCGGCGCACGGGUGAGUAUCGCGUAUCCAACCUGCCCCUUACUUGGGGAUACCCCGUUGAAAGACGGCCUAAUACCCGAUGUGUUUCAUUGACGGCAUCCGAUAUGAAACAAAGGUUUUCCGGUAAGGGAUGGGGAUGCGUCUGAUUAGCUAGUUGGCGGGGCAACGGCCCACCAAGGCGACGAUCAGUAGGGGUUCUGAGAGGAAGGUCCCCCACAUUGGAACUGAGGCACGGUCCAAACUCCUACGGGAGGCAGCAGUGAGGAAUAUUGGUCAAUGGGCGCAAGUCUGAACCAGCCAAGUAGCGUGCAGGAUGACGGCCCUAUGGGUUGUAAACUGCUUUUAUGUGGGAAUAAAGUGGCGCACGUGUGCGCCAUUGCAUGUACCUCAUGAAUAAGGACCGGCUAAUUCCGCGCCAGCAGCCGCGGUAAUACGGAAGGUCCGGGCGUUAUCCGGAUUUAUUGGGUUUAAAGGGAGUGUAGGCGGUCUGUUAAGCGUGUUGUGAAAUUUAGGUGCUCAACAUUUAACUUGCAGCGCGAACUGUCAGACUUGAGUACACGCAGCGCAGGCGGAAUUCAUGGUGUAGCGGUGAAAUGCUUAGAUAUCAUGAGGAACUCCGAUCGCGAAGGCAGCCUGCGGGAGUGUUACUGACGCUUAAGCUCGAAGGUGCGGGUAUCGAACAGG
rnacentral:rRNA from 1 species